UUUUUCACAUUGGCGUCAAAUUAAAAAAAACACACAAACUCAUGAAACUGUCAAACACUGACAGAGGGCAGUUGUACGCUAAGGUUUGAUUCCAAAUGUAGUGCCCAAUAUAACACUACUAACAGACGUGACACGAAAAAGUAGGUGUGCAUGAUGCAACUUCCUGGACGGUGUGUAGGCUGUUUGUCAACAUGUGGGUAGGAAUUGUCUCCCCUUGAAAAGAUCAAUAAUGGCGGAUAAACAAUGCGGCAUACAGUUUGGUCAUCAACGGACAGUUUUGACACCCGUGUUACCCGUAUUUCUACCAAUCGCCUCUGUAACCUUUGUUACUGUGUUCAUCACACAGGUGAUGGACCACUCUACUUCCUUUUACAACAGGUACUGCCCCUACAGAUUCACAAAGUUCCGGUGUUGAGUUUCCAUGACCCUAUUCUUCCACGACAGGAAAAGGAAUAUAGAGUUGACAGUACUUCCCGCACUGUCCCUGGUAGCAGUUUAUGAGGGAACCAACUGCAGUAAACAUAGCACGCUUCAUCAAAGAUGCACCAGAUGCAGCGGCACUGUCUCCAUCACUGGUGAAAUGGGAUAUGACUAGUGGAGGGUCAUCACUUUGUAACUCACCAACACAAUUAGCGGCCCAUCUCUUCUCGUCUCCAAUGGUGGUCUCCGGAGGAAUGGUUGCAGUGCAGUCUUCAUGUCCUGGGCAGGUCUGUUGCAUGUUGGUGGCUGACGCUGGUUCAAUAUUUGCACCAAGAAGCAUACCACGCAUACCCCCUGUUGUAAGACUGGUACCCAGGUAACCGACAGCCAUGGGCAUAUUCAGCUGUGGAGCUCUUCGUCCCCUGCCAGAUCUUCUCACCUCUUCGUAAAGCUUUUUUCGGUGACUGGUAUAGUGGCUCUUCUUACAUCCGAUUGAAAGGAU